CAAUAGCGUAUAUUAAAGUUGUUGCAGUUAAAAAGCUCGUAGUUGGAUUUCUGGUGGGAGCGAUCGGUCUGGCGCUUAGCGCGAGUACUUGCAUCGUCUCCGGCCAUCCUUGGAGAGAGUCUGUCUGGCAUUAAGUUGUCGGGCAGAGGAUCCUCAUCGUUUACUGUGAAAAAAUUAGAGUGUUCAAAGCAGGCUUAUGCCGUUGAAUAUAUUAGCAUGGAAUAAUAAGAUAGGACUUUGGUACUAUUUUGUUGGUUUGCGCACCAAAGUAAUGAUUAAUAGGGACAGUUGGGGGUAUUCGUAUUCCGUUGUCAGAGGUGAAAUUCUUGGAUUUACGGAAGACGAACUACUGCGAAAGCAUUUACCAAGGAUGUUUUCAUUAA
rnacentral:rRNA from 1 species